AGGCACGUGACCGUUAAGGAUCAAGUUACCGGCGAGCGUCGGGUGGUGGGUCACGUGGCUCAGCUCUGCUACAUCAGAGACGGUGAGAAAGUGUCCUCCAACUGGGUGAUGAAGGAGUAUACGCUUGCUGAUCAUAAGCCUCACGAUGACCAAGAGGAGUUUGAGGAGUGGGCUAUUUGCAGAAUCAAACUAAAUGCUGUGACGGAGAAGAGGAACAAGAAAGAUCAAAGAGCGAGUAAUUCUUGAGUCAUGAUGCCGAUCAAUUAUCUUUAAUUAUGAUGUUUACUCUGGCGAAUUGUUGUCUUGGUUUUUGUCAGGUUAAUUUAGUUAAAUUGAGUCGGUGUUUAUUUCUUUCCUUUUUUUCUGUUUGGUACGUAGCUAGCUUCUUGAUUUUGUUUGAUGUUCGCUUGUUGAGUUCUUUGAUGUCGUGUACUGAAGAAAAGUACUUUUCAUUGUUGGUGAUCGGUAACCCAACUCAUCAAUGAUAGUGUAAUGUGAAAUUUUUGAUAAGCUGAAAAUACAAAUUUUGUUAUUGUUGUCAA